GUAUCGAAGAAAGUGCGCACGACAGGCACCUGCUCUCCCCGUCGUCUCUGCUGCAGCAGCUUGUGUGCGAGCAGGAAGGAAGACAUCAUGAAGAAAAUCUGCACCACGAGCGUGCUGUUCGCCAUCAGCAUUGCAUCCAGGGCUCGACGGGUCUGUUAUGGAAUGUCCAUAAGUGCUUAGCUCUUCUCGAUGACAACGUUCAUAUUGAAAAGGCUCAUCUCUCAUCAGCGGCGCUGUAACCUGACGCCGCCGGUGACGUCAGCGCGGCCUGACGGCAGCUGAACUGCUUGCCCCGUUGAAUUUAUUGUGAAGUUUGCGAAAAUAAACGGUUUUGUCAUGGAA